rnacentral:rRNA from 1 species
GAUGAACGCUGGCGGCGUGCCUAAUACAUGCAAGUCGAGCGAACAGAUGAGGAGCUUGCUCCUCUGACGUUAGCGGCGGACGGGUGAGUAACACGUGGAUAACCUACCUAUAAGACUGGGAUAACUUCGGGAAACCGGAGCUAAUACCGGAUAAUAUAUUGAACCGUAUGGUUCAAUAGUGAAAGACGGUUUUGCUGUCACUUAUAGAUGGAUCCGCGCCGCAUUAGCUAGUUGGUAAGGUAACGGCUUACCAAGGCGACGAUGCGUAGCCGACCUGAGAGGGUGAUCGGCCACACUGGAACUGAGACACGGUCCAGACUCCUACGGGAGGCAGCAGUAGGGAAUCUUCCGCAAUGGGCGAAAGCCUGACGGAGCAACGCCGCGUGAGUGAUGAAGGUCUUCGGAUCGUAAAACUCUGUUAUUAGGGAAGAACAAAUGUGUAAGUAACUAUGCACGUCUUGACGGUACCUAAUCAGAAAGCCACGGCUAACUACGUGC